rnacentral:rRNA from 1 species
AGUGAACGCUGGCGGCGUGCCUAAUACAUGCAAGUCGAACGGAGUGGCGCACGGGUGAGUAAUAUAUAGCUAAUCUGCCCCUUGCUGUAGGACAACAGUUAGAAAUGACUGCUAAUACUCCAUAGCAAGGGAUGUGACUAUAUCGUAUCAGCUAGUCGGUGGGGUAACGGCCUACCGCGGCUAUGACUCGUAACUGGUCUGAGAGGAUGAUAAGACACAUUGGAACUGAGACACGGUCGAAACUCCAACGGGAGGCAUCAGUAGGGAGUAGUGCACAAUGGGCGGAUCCCUGACGCAGCAACGGCGCGUGGAGAAUGACACUGUUCGGUGCGUAAACUCCUUUUGUUAGGUAAGCGGUACCUAACGAAUAUACACCGGGAAACUCCGUGCCAGCAAGCGCGGUAAUUC